AGCCAACAGACAAAUUUGGAGAACUUAUCUUGAUUUUUCCUUUUUUUUUCUAUUCACAUGACUUUAAAGCCCAACUCAUUAAUGAGAAGAGCCUGGCAGCAGUAUCCAGUUGACAGUUAUCCAGGAAAAGGAAGUUUAUCCGGAAACAGGGCCUAACCCUCGAUCUUUGUCAGCCUGGAUAUGAAGUGGUAGAACUGGAGGAAAUAGUUCCACAUGCUGUCAAAACAGCCUACCAGCUACCUAAAGCCUACCCACUUAAGAGCUGCUGUAAUGAUGUUUUGGAGGAAUUCAUAAUGAGCCUGCAAAAAGGAGUAAUAUGGAAGUCUCGCUUCAAUUUCAUACAUGAGUUUCAACAACAGCUCUCAGACUGA
rnacentral:lncRNA from 1 species